ACGACUGCUUUUAUUCUACCAACUCACCAAGCACAACAAGCUUGUAAAUAGAUUGGGAUGUCUAUUAUAAAGAAGGAAAUAUGGAUGGAGAGGAGAAGGGAACAUUCUUCUUUUAUGUAUAUAUUUCUUUCUUUCUUUUUUUUUUUUGAUGGGAUAAGAUUCUUCAAAAGUAUUAGGCAAGAUCAUGAUGUUACUUAAUAGUUUAGGAUUGACUAAUGACCUUAGAUCGUCCUAUACAUAUGUAC
rnacentral:lncRNA from 1 species